rnacentral:rRNA from 1 species
CGUAGGGGGCUAGCGUUGUCCGGAUUUAUUGGGCGUAAAGCGCGUGUAGGCGGCCGGCUAGGUCUGGUGUGAAAACUCGAGGCUCAACCUCGAGAUGUCGCCGGAAACCAGUCGGCUAGAGUCCGGAAGAGGAGAGUGGAAUUCCUGGUGUAGCGGUGAAAUGCGCAGAUAUCAGGAAGAACACCUAUGGCGAAAGCAGCUCUCUGGGACGGUACUGACGCUGAGACGCGAAAGCGUGGGGAGCGAACAGGAUUAGAUACCCUGGUAGUCCACGCCGUAAACGAUGGGCGCUAGGUGUGGGCGGUGUCGACUCCGUCCGUGCCGAAGCUAACGCAUUAAGCGCCCCGCCUGGGGAGUACGGCCGCAAAGCUA